UACGUAGGGUGCGAGCGUUGUCCGGAAUUAUUGGGCGUAAAGAGCUCGUAGGCGGUGUGUCGCGUCGGCCGUGAAAACCUGGGGCUUAACUCUGGGCGUGCGGUCGAUACGGGCAUCACUAGAGUUCGGCAGGGGAGACUGGAAUUCCUGGUGUAGCGGUGAAAUGCGCAGAUAUCAGGAGGAACACCGGUGGCGAAGGCGGGUCUCUGGGCCGGUACUGACGCUGAGGAGCGAAAGCGUGGGGAGCAAACAGG
rnacentral:rRNA from 1 species